rnacentral:rRNA from 1 species
CUGGCGGGCGUGCCUAACACAUGCAAGUCGAGCGAUGAAAUUUCCUUCGGGAAAUAGAUUAGCGGCGGACGGGUGAGUAACACGUGGGUACCUGCCUCAUAGUGGGGGAGUAGCCUUCCGAAAGGAGAUUAAUACCGCAUAACAUCAUUUAGAUGGCAUCAUUUAGUGAUCAAAGGAUUUAUUCGCUAUGAGAUGGACCCGCGUCGCAUUAGCUAGUUGGUAGGGUAAUGGCUUACCAAGGCGACGAUGCGUAGCCGACCUGAGAGGGUGAUCGGCCACAUUGGGACUGAGACACGGCCCAGACUCCUACGGGAGGCAGCAGUGGGGAAUAUUGCACAAUGGGGGAAACCCUGAUGCAGCAACGCCGCGUGAGUGAUGACGGUCUUCGGAUUGUAAAGCUCUGUCUUUGGGGACGAUAAUGACGGUACCCAAGGAGGAAGCCACGGGCUAACUACGUGCCAGCAGCCGCGGUAAAU